rnacentral:rRNA from 2 species
UACGUAGGGUGCAAGCGUUAAUCGGAAUUACUGGGCGUAAAGCGUGCGCAGGCGGUUGUGCAAGACAGAUGUGAAAUCCCCGGGCUCAACCUGGGAAUGGCAUUUGUGACUGCACGGCUAGAGUGUGUCAGAGGGGGGUAGAAUUCCACGUGUAGCAGUGAAAUGCGUAGAUAUGUGGAGGAAUACCGAUGGCGAAGGCAGCCCCCUGGGAUAACACUGACGCUCAUGCACGAAAGCGUGGGGAGCAAACAGG